AGAGGAAUCGUACAUAGAGAGGUAUAAAAAAAUGGAAUCGUACAUAAAAAGGUAUAAAAGAAGAGGAAUCGUACAUAGACAGGUAUAAAAGAAGAUGAACCGUACAUAGAGAGGUAUAAAAGAAGAGGAAUCGUACAUAGAGAGGUAUAAAAGAAGAGGAAUCGUACAUAGACAGGUAUAAAAGAAGAGGAAUCGUACAUAGAGAGGUAUAAAAGAAGAGGAAUCGUUCAUAAAAAGGUAUAAAAGAAGAGGAAUCGUACAUAAAAAGGUAUAAAAGAAGAGGAAUCGUGCAUAGACAGGAAUAAAACUAAGAGGAAUCGUAC